ACGGCGAGUGAACCGGGAAAAGCUCAAAUUUGUAAUCUGGCUGUCUUCGAUAGUCCGAGUUGUAAUCUAUAGACGUGUUUUCCGUGCUGGAUCGUAUCUAAGUCCCUUGGAACAGGGUAUCAAAGAGGGUGACAAUCCCGUGCUUGAUACGACGACCAGUGCUCUGUGAUACACGUUCUACGAGUCGAGUUGUUUGGGAAUGCAGCUCAAAAUGGGUGGUAAAUUCCAUCUAAAGCUAAAUAUUGGCGAGAGACCGAUAGCGAACAAGUACCGUGAGGGAAAGAUGAAAAGCACUUUGGAAAGAGAGUUAAACAGUACGUGAAAUUGUUGAAAGGGAAACGAUUGAAGUCAGUCGUGUUCUUCAGAUUCAGCUGGUUCUUCCAGUCUACUUCUGUUGAACGGGUCAACAUCAGUUUUGUCCGGUGGAUAAAGGUAGUAGGAAUGUGACUCCCCCGGGAGUGUUAUAGCCUAUUAUUGCAUACACUGGGUGAGACUGAGGACUGCAGCUCGCCUUUUGGCCGGUCUUCGGACACGUUCGAGCUUAGGAUGUUGACAUAAUGGCUUUAAACGAC
rnacentral:rRNA from 1 species